rnacentral:rRNA from 1 species
UGGAUCCAGACUUUGAUCAUGGCUCAGGACGAACGCUGGCGGCGCGCCUAACACAUGCAAGUCGAACGAGAGAGAGGGAGCUUGCUUCCUCGAUCGAGUGGCGAACGGGUGAGUAACGCGUGAGGAACCUGCCUCAAAGAGGGGGACAACAGUUGGAAACGACUGCUAAUACCGCAUAAGCCCACGGCUCGGCAUCGAGCAGAGGGAAAAGGAGCAAUCCGCUUUGAGAUGGCCUCGCGUCCGAUUAGCUAGUUGGUGAGGUAAUGGCCCACCAAGGCGAUGAUCGGUAGCCGGACUGAGAGGUUGAACGGCCACACUGGGACUGAGACACGGCCCAGACUCCUACGGGAGGCAGCAGUGGGGAAUAUUGCACAAUGGGGGAAACCCUGAUGCAGCGACGCCGCGUGGAGGAAGAAGGUCUUCGGAUUGUAAACUCCUGUUGUUGAGGAAGAUAAUGACGGUACUCAACAAGGAAGUGACGGCUAACUACGUGCUAGCAGCCGCGGUAAAACGUAGGUCACAAGCGUUGUCCGGAAUUACUGGGUGUAAAGGGAGCGCAGGCGGGCGAUCAAGUUGGAAGUGAAAUCCAUGGCUCAACCCAUGAACUGCUUUCAAAACUGAUUGUCUUGAGUAGUGCAGAGGUAGGCGGAAUUCCCGGUGUAGCGGUGGAAUGCGUAGAUAUCGGGAGGAACACCAGUGGCGAAGGCGGCCUACUGGGCACCAACUGACGCUGAGGCUCGAAAGUGUGGGUAGCAAACAGGAUUAGAUACCCUGGUAGUCCACACCGUAAACGAUGAUUACUAGGUGUUGGAGGAUUGACCCCUUCAGUGCCGCAGUUAACACAAUAAGUAAUCCACCUGGGGAGUACGACCGCAAGGUUGCAACUCAAAGGAAUUGACGGA